rnacentral:lncRNA from 1 species
GGUGAUCAACACUGAGAUCCUCACAGGCCCCUUUGCUGCAUCUGCUAAAACCUCUUUAAUUCACUCAGUGAAAAUUAUGAUGGAAAAUCCCUGGAACUUCACAAAAUUUCUAUUUUGAAGGUUUGAUUUCUUCCUGUGCUCAGGAUGAGUAGAUGAACCUCAUGCUUUACUUAUUGAAAGUUGAUGCAUGAAGAAAAUAAAUAUCAGAGUUUAGGAUGAGGACAGAUGAAAAGAUAACUACUAUUGGAAUUUACCUGGGGAGUGACAGGAAAUGCUUGCAUAUGUGGUCCAGUCUAGCACUGUAACAGCAGGCUCAUCAGGCUCCCUGCAUCUCCGUACAUAUUGUUCCUUACUGAAGCAAGAGGUGUUUUGCCCUUUGGACCUCCUGUCAUCCAGAGCUCAUAUCCUGGUGCAGGUCUGGACAUGGCUCACCCUCCUCUGAUGCCUGAGAUACCUCACCUUUCAGUGUUUUAUCACUGAGGAGGCUACAUCUGUUAUACAGCUUUCUGUUUACAGAGUGGAAUGUUGAAAUGGGACUAAUUAUCAAAUCCAUCAUCCAUUCUGCUUACCCUUUUUAAAGGUUCAUGAAGUAUGCUGCUGGGAUUUCAAUUGAGAUUGCAUUGAAUCUAUAUAGAAAUGUUUGAAGUAUGGCCAUUUUCAAUAUGUUGAUCCUUCCUACCCUGGAGCAAGG